rnacentral:tRNA from 1 species
AUUGUUUUGGCAGAUAAGUGUAUUGGAUUUAGGUUCCUUUUAUGUAGAUUAUUUUCUACAAAUAAUA